rnacentral:lncRNA from 1 species
AAAUAUUUAGGUUUAUUAAGUUUAAUCAUUUUAAUUAAUUAGUUAAAAGUUAAUCUCAAUAUUUAUUAAAUUAAUUAAAAUUUAAUUAUCCCAACAUUUAAUUAAACUAUAAUUGUAAUUAAUCAAUAAUAAUAAUAAUAAUGAUAGAUAAUAAUAAUAAUAAUAAGAAGAAGAAGAUGAAAUAAACAAACAAGAUAAAGUGAAAAUGUUUAAUUAAUUAAGGUUUUAUUUCGCCUAUUAAUUAGCUUAAUUAAAACUAAUUAUCCUAAUUCUAUUG